CGUUGAAACACCGGUUUCCCGUAUGAUCACCGAAGUUAAGCCACAUCGAGCCUGGUCAGUACAUGGAUGCAUAACUGCUUGGAAAUACCAGGUGC
rnacentral:rRNA from 1 species